GAUGAAGAACGUAGCGAAAUGCGAUAAGUAAUGUGAAUUGCAGAAUUCAGUGAAUCAUCGAAUCUUUGAACGCACCUUGCACCCUUUGGCAUUCCGAAGGGUAUGCUCGUUUGAGUGUCAUUGUACUCUCACUCUCCCGAUGCUUUUGGAUCGGGAGUGGUGGACUUGGGUGUUGCUGCUUUGCUGUGGCUCGCCUCAAAUGGAGUAGUGCAACUCUUGGUUGGACAUAGUACGGCGUGAUAAGUGUCUUCGUCGGCGCCUCAUUAUAGAGGGUGGCCGAUCGGGAGCUCUGUGCUUCAAACCGUCUUCGGACAACAUCUGACAACUUGACCUCAAAUCGAGUAGGACUACCCGCUGAACUUAAGCAUAUCAAUAAGCGGAGGA
rnacentral:misc_RNA from 1 species